rnacentral:rRNA from 1 species
AUAGACGUUCAGAGUUUGAUCCUGGCUCAGAUUGAACGCUGGCGGCAUGCCUUACACAUGCAAGUCGAACGGCAGCGCGGGAGCAAUCCUGACGGCGAGUGGCGAACGGGUGAGUAAUAUAUCGGAACGUGCCCAGUAGUGGGGGAUAGCCCGGCGAAAGCCGGAUUAAUACCGCAUACGACCUGAGGGUGAAAGCGGGGGAUCGCAAGACCUCGCGCUACUGGAGCGGCCGAUAUCAGAUUAGCUAGUUGGUGGGGUAAAGGCCUACCAAGGCAACGAUCUGUAGUUGGUCUGAGAGGACGACCAGCCACACUGGGACUGAGACACGGCCCAG